rnacentral:rRNA from 1 species
CCUACGGGAGGCAGCAGUGAGGAAUAUUGGUCAAUGGGCGCGAGCCUGAACCAGCCAAGUCGCGUGAGGGAGGACGGCCCUACGGGUUGUAAACCUCUUUUGCCGGGGAGCAACGGGCGCCACGUGUGGCGUCACUGAGAGUACCCGGAGAAAAAGCAUCGGCUAAAUCCGUGCCAGCAGCCGCGGUAAUACGGGGGAUGCGAGCGUUAUCCGGAUUUAUUGGGGUGAAAGGGUGCGUAGGAGGAUCGUUAAGUCAGUGGUCAAGUUUAGGGGCUCAACCCCUUCCCGCAGUUGAAACUGGCGUUCUUGAGUGGACGAGAAGUAUGCGGAAUGCGUGGUGUAGCGGUGAAAUGCAUAGAUAUCACGCAGAACCCCGAUUGCGAAGGCAGCAUGCCGGCUUCCGACUGACGCUGAAGCACGAAAGCGUGGGGAUCGAACAGGAUUAGAUACCCGUGUAGUC